GAUGAACGCUGGCGGCGUGCCUAAUACAUGCAAGUCGAGCGAACAGACGAGGAGCUUGCUCCUCUGACGUUAGCGGCGGACGGGUGAGUAACACGUGGAUAACCUACCUAUAAGACUGGGAUAACUUCGGGAAACCGGAGCUAAUACCGGAUAAUAUAUUGAACCGCAUGGUUCAAUAGUGAAAGACGGUUUUGCUGUCACUCAUAGAUGGAUCCGCGCCGCAUUAGCUAGUUGGUAAGGUAACGGCUUACCAAGGCAACGAUGCGUAGCCGACCUGAGAGGGUGAUCGGCCACACUGGAACUGAGACACGGUCCAGACUCCUACGGGAGGCAGCAGUAGGGAAUCUUCCGCAAUGGGCGAAAGCUUGACGGAGCAACGCCGCGUGAGUGAUGAAGGUCUUCGGAUCGUAAAACUCUGUUAUUAGGGAAGAACAAAUGUGUAAGUAACUAUGCACGUCUUGACGGUACCUAAGCAGAAAGCCACGGCUAACUACGU
rnacentral:rRNA from 1 species